GACGAACGCUGGCGGCGUGCUUAACACAUGCGAGUCGAACGGAAAGGCCCUGCUUGCCGGGUACUCUCGUGGCGAACGGGUGAGUAACACGUGUGUGUUCUGCCCUCCACUUCUUGAUAAGCCUUGAGAACUGUGGCUAUUACCUGAUAUGGGCCAUUUUUAUUGUUGUGGUUGGAAAGUUUUUUCGGUGUGGGAUGAGCUCGCUGCCUAUCAGCUUGUUGGUGGGUGAAUGGCCUACCAAGGCGGCGACGGGUAGCCGGCCUGGGUGGGUGGACGGCCACAUUGGGACUGAGAUAAGGCCCAGAACCCCACGGGGAGCAGGAGGGGGGAAUAAUGGAAAAAGGGGGGAAGGCUGAUGCAGCGACGCCGCGUGGGGGAUGACGGCCUUCGGGUUGGAAACCCCUUUCGCUAGGGAAGAAGCUUUUUGUGACGGUACCUAGAAAAGAAGCACCGGCUAACUACGUG
rnacentral:rRNA from 1 species